UACGGAGGGUGCGAGCGUUGUCCGGAAUCACUGGGCGUAAAGGGCGCGUAGGCGGGGAUGUAAGUCGGGCGUGAAAUCCCCAGGCUCAACCUGGGAACUGCACUCGAAACUGCGUUUCUUGAGUAUCGGAGAGGAAAGCGGAAUUCCUGGUGUAGAGGUGAAAUUCGUAGAUAUCAGGAGGAACACCAGUGGCGAAGGGCGG
rnacentral:rRNA from 1 species